GUGGCGGACGGGUGAGGAACACAUCGGAAUCUGCCCGGUUGUGGGGGAUAACGUAGGGAAACUUACGCUAAUACCGCAUACGACCUUAGGGUGAAAGCGGGGGAUCAGCAAUGACCUCGCGCAGUCGGAUGAGCCGAUGUCGGAUUAGCUAGUUGGCGGGGUAAAGGCCCACCAAGGCGACGAUCCGUAGCUGGUCUGAGAGGAUGAUCAGCCACACUGGGACUGAGACACGGCCCAGACUCCUACGGGAGGCAGCAGUGGGGAAUAUUGGACAAUGGGGGCAACCCUGAUCCAGCAAUGCCGCGUGUGUGAAGAAGGCCUUCGGGUUGUAAAGCACUUUUAUCCGGAACGAAACGCGCAGGGUGAAUAGCCUUGCGAACUGACGGUACCGGAGGAAUAAGCACCGGCUAACUUCGUGCCAGCAGCCGCGGUAAUACGAAGGGUGCAAGCGUUACUCGGAAUUACUGGGCGUAAAGGGUGCGUAGGUGGUUGUUUAAGUCUGCUGUGAAAGCCCCGGGCUCAACCUGGGAAUGGCAGUGGAUACUGGACAGCUAGAGUGCGGUAGAGGGUAGUGGAAUUCCCGGUGUAGCAGUGAAAUGCGUAGAGAUCGGGAGGAACACCAGUGGCGAAGGCGGCUACCUGGACCAGCACUGACACUGAAGCACGAAAGC
rnacentral:rRNA from 1 species